rnacentral:rRNA from 1 species
GACGAACGCUGGCGGCGUGCUUAACACAUGCAAGUGGAGCGACGAACCAGGCUUCGGCCUGGGGCAAAGCCGCGAACGGGUGAGUAACACGUGGGUAACCUGCCCCGAUGACCGGGACAACCCGAGGAAACUCGGGCUAAUACCGGAUGUGCUGUCCUCGCAUCAGUGAGGAUUGGAAAGGGAGCUUCGGCCUCCGCAUCGGGAUGGGCCCGCGGCCCAUUAGCUUGUUGGUGAGGUAACGGCUCACCAAGGCUGCGAUGGGUAGCUGGUCUGAGAGGACGAUCAGCCACACUGGGACUGAGACACGGCCCAGACUCCUACGGGAGGCAGCAGUGGGGAAUCUUGCGCAAUGCGCGAAAGCGUGACGCAGCAACGCCGCGUGGGGGAAGAAGGCCUUCGGGUCGUAAACCCCUUUCGCCAUUGACGAAGCCCUUUGGGGUGACGGUAGGUGGAGAAGAAGCACCGGCUAACUACGUGCCAGCCGCCGCUGUAAAAC